rnacentral:rRNA from 1 species
AACGAACGCUGGCGGCGGGCCUCAUACAUGCAAGUCGAGCGCGAAAGUCCGCAAGGAUGAGUAAAGCGGCGCACGGGUGAGUAACACGUGGAUAAUCUACCCUUUGGAUUGGAAUAACCUGUCGAAAGACGGGCUAAUGCCAAGUAAGCUCUCGGAAAUGUGAUGUUUCUGCGAGGAAAGAUGGUGCAAGCUAUCGCCGAAGGAUGAGUCUGCGUCCCAUUAGCUAGUUGGUGGGGUAAAAGCUUACCAAGGCAAUGAUGGGUACCU